rnacentral:misc_RNA from 1 species
AACGCACCUUGCGCUCCUUGGUAUUCCGAGGAGCAUGCCUGUUUGAGUGUCAUGAAAUUCUCAACCUUUCUGGCUUGUGAAAGCCAAGUCAGGCUUGGAUUAUGGAAGCUUUGCGGGCUUUUGAAGUCGGCUCUUCUGAAAUGUAUUAGCGAAAUCAUUGCUGCUCGUCAUUGAUAUGAUAAUUAUCUACAUCAUUGAAGAGUUCAGUUUGUUCUAUUUUGCUUUCUAACCGUCUGGUAAAGACAACAUGACGAUUUUGACCUCAAAUCAGGUAGGACUACCCGCUGAACUUAA